rnacentral:rRNA from 1 species
UACGAAGGGGGCUAGCGUUGCUCGGAAUCACUGGGCGUAAAGGGUGCGUAGGCGGAUCUUUAAGUCAGGGGUGAAAUCCUGGAGCUCAACUCCAGAACUGCCUUUGAUACUGGAGAGCUUGAGUUCGGGAGAGGUGAGUGGAACUGCGAGUGUAGAGGUGAAAUUCGUAGAUAUUCGCAAGAACACCAGUGGCGAAGGCGGCUCACUGGCCCGAUACUGACGCUGAGGCACGAAAGCGUGGGGAGCAAACAGG